GAUUAACGCUGGCGGCGUGCAUAACACAUGCAAGUCGAACGAUGAAACUUAAAUGAUUUCUUCGGAAUGAACUUAAGUGGAUUAGUGGCGGACGGGUGAGUAACGCGUGAGUAACCUGCCUUACACAAGGGGAUAGCCGUUGGAAACGACGAAUAAUACCCUAUGAAACUAUCACUUCGCAUGAAGCGAUAGUCAAAGUGUUAGCGGUGUAAGAUGGACUUGCGUCUGAUUAGCUAGUUGGUGAGAAAAAAGCCCACCAAGGCAACGUUCAGUAGCCGGCUUGAGAGAGUGUACGGCCACAUUGGGACUGAGACACGGCCCAGACUCCUACGGGAGGCAGCAGUGGGGAAUUUUGCACAAUGGGGGAAACCCUGAUGCAGCGACGCCGCGUGAUUUAGAAGGCCUUCGGGUUGUAAAAAUCUUUUGUAUAGGAAGAAAAUGACAGUACUAUACGAAUAAGGUCCGGCUAAUUACGUG
rnacentral:rRNA from 1 species